rnacentral:ncRNA from 2 species
AACAGAGUAGGAAAUAAAGCGUUAAGUGCUGGAAGGAUGGGAUGUUGCCUUUCGGACGAAGAAUAUAGGAGAACAGUGAUCUAGCUGUA